GACGAACGCUGGCGGCGUGCUUAACACAUGCAAGUCGAACGGAAAGGCCCUGCUUUUGUGGGGUGCUCGAGUGGCGAACGGGUGAGUAACACGUGAGUAACCUGCCCUUGACUUUGGGAUAACUUCAGGAAACUGGGGCUAAUACCGGAUAGGAGCUCCUGCUGCAUGGUGGGGGUUGGAAAGUUUCGGCGGUUGGGGAUGGACUCGCGGCUUAUCAGCUUGUUGGUGGGGUAGUGGCUUACCAAGGCUUUGACGGGUAGCCGGCCUGAGAGGGUGACCGGCCACAUUGGGACUGAGAUACGGCCCAGACUCCUACGGGAGGCAACAGUGGGGAGUAUUGCACAAUGGGCGGAAGCCUGAUGCAGCAACGCCGCGUGCGGGAUGACGGCCUUCGGGUUGUAAACCGCUGUCGCCUGUGACGAAGCGUGAGUGACGGUAAUGGGUAAAGAAGCACCGGCUAACUACGUG
rnacentral:rRNA from 1 species